GGAAGGUGGCUCAGUGGUAGAGUGCUUGCCUUGCAUGCAUGAGGCCCUGGGUUCGAUUCCCAAGCAUCCA
rnacentral:tRNA from 1 species